UCGUUGUAGCAAUACGAUGGAAAGGUUAGUGGCGAACGGGUGCUUAACACGUGGGCAACCUGCCAGGAAGUGGGGGAUAGCUCGCCGAAAGGCGAAUUAAUACCGCAUGUGAUUAGAGAGGACAUCCUUUCGAAAUUAAAGUCGGGGCAACCUGACGCUUCUUGUGGGGCCCGCGGCCUAUCAGCUAGUUGGUGAGGUAACGGCCCACCAAGGCUUUGACGGGUAGCUGGUCUGAGAGGACGACCAGCCACACUGGGACUGAGACACGGCCCAGACACCUACGGGUGGCAGCAGUCGAGAAUUUUUGACAAUGGGGGAAACCCUGAUCGAGCGACGCCGCGUGGAGGAUGAAGGUCUUCGGAUUGUAAACUCCUGUCAUUGGGGAACAACGCACAAAUAUUAACUGUAUUUGUGUUGAUAGUACCCGAAGAGGAAGAGACGGCUAACUCUGUGCCAGCAGCCGCGGUAUUACAGAGGUCUCAAGCGUUGUUCGGAUUCAUUGGGCGUAAAGGGUGCGUAGGCGGCGCGGUAAGUCGGGUGUGAAAUCUUGGAGCUUAACUCCGAAACUGCAUUCGAUACUGCCGUGCUUGAGGACUGGAGAGGAGACUGGAAUUCACGGUGUAGCA
rnacentral:rRNA from 1 species